CGGCCGCGGUAUCCUGACCGUGCAAAGGUAGCAUAAUCAUUUGUUCCUUAAUUAGGGACUAGUAUGAAUGGCCACACGAGGGUUUAACUGUCUCUUAUUUCUAAUCAGUGAAAUUGACCUUCCCGUGAAGAGGCGGGAAUAAAAAAAUAAGACGAGAAGACCCUAUGGAGCUUAAAUUAUAUAACUCUCAGUUAUAGAUUUCGGUUGGGGUGACCUCGGAGUACAAAACAACCUCCGAACCAAGAUUAACAAAUCAAAGUCAAUCUAAUUGAUCAACGAAACAAGUUACCCUAGGGAUAACAGCGCAAUCCUAUUCAAGAGUCCUUAUCGACAAUAGGGUUUACGACCUCGAUGUUGGAUCAGGACAUCCUAAUGGUGCAGCAGCU
rnacentral:rRNA from 1 species